CAGGAUUUCUAUCUAUCUUAGUGGCGGACGGGUGAGUAACGUGUGGGCAACCUGCCCUGUACUGGGGAAUAAUCAUUGGAAACGAUGACUAAUACCGCAUGUGGUCCUCGGAAGGCAUCUUCUGAGGAAGAAAGGAUUUAUUCGGUACAGGAUGGGCCCGCAUCUGAUUAGCUAGUUGGUGAGAUAACAGCCCACCAAGGCGACGAUCAGUAGCCGACCUGAGAGGGUGAUCGGCCACAUUGGGACUGAGACACGGCCCAAACUCC
rnacentral:rRNA from 1 species